rnacentral:rRNA from 1 species
UAAUACCCAAUAACCUCCUGGUCCUUGAAGGGAUCGGGAGCAAAGGUGUGAUUCCACAGGAGGAGCGGCGUGCUUCGUAUUAGCUAGUUGGUGAGGUAACGGCUCACCAAGGCAUCGAUGCGUAGGGGGUGUGUGAGCAUGACCCCCACCACUGGGACUGAGAUACUGCCCAGACACCUACGGGUGGCUGCAGUCGAGAAUCUUCGGCAAUGGGCGCAAGCCUGACCGAGCGACGCCGCGUGUGGGAUGAAGGCCCUUGGGUUGUAAACCACUGUCAGAGGGGAUGAAAUGCACGAGAGUUAUCUCUUGUGUUUGACAUAGCCUCAGAGGAAGCACGGGCUAAGUUCGUGCCAGCAGCCGCGGUAAUACGAACUGUGCAAACGUUAUUCGGAAUCACUGGGCUUACAGGGUGCGUAGGCGGCUUGUUAAGUAGGGUGUGAAAGCCCCCGGCUCAACCGGGGAAUGGCGCCCUAAACUGGCGAGCUGGAGUGAGAUAGGGGUGUGCGGAACUUCCGGUGGAGCGGUGAAAUGUGUUGAUAUCGGAAGGAACGCCGGUGGCGAAAGCGGCACACUGGAUCUCAACUGACGCUGAGGCACGAAGGCCAGGGGAGCGAACGGGAUUAGAUACCCUGGUAGUCC